AGGGAUGCCUCAGUACGGCGAGUGAAGCGGCAAAAGCUCAAAUUUGAAAUCUGGCCUCACGGUCCGAGUUGUAAUUUGUAGAGGAUGCUUCGAACGUGGUCCGGUCUAAGUUCCUUGGAACAGGACGUCAUAGAGGGUGAGAAUCCCGUAUGUGCCCGGGCGCCAUUGUUCAUGUGAAGCUCCUUCGACGAGUCGAGUUGUUUGGGAAUGCAGCUCAAAAUGGGUGGUAAAUUUCAUCUAAAGCUAAAUACUGGCCAGAGACCGAUAGCGCACAAGUAGAGUGAUCGAAAGAUGAAAAGCACUUUGGAAAGAGAGUUAAACAGUACGUGAAAUUGUUGAAAGGGAAGCGCUUGCAAUCAGACUUGCAUGCAGCCGAUCAUCCGGUGUUCUCACCGGUGCACUCGGUUGCAUUCAGGCCAGCAUCGGUUUUGGUGGUUGGAUAAAGGCCUCAGGAACGUGGCUCCCCUCCGGGAGUGUUAUAGCCUGAGGUGCAAUGCAGCCCACCGGGACCGAGGACCGCGCUUCGGCUAGGAUGCUGGCGUAAUGGUUGUAAGCGACCCGUCUUGAAACACGGACCAAGGAGUCUAACAUCUAUGCGAGUGUUUGGGUGUAAAACCCAUACGCGUAAUGAAAGUGAACGGAGGUGAGAACCCUCAAGGGUGCAUCAUCGACCGGUCCUGAAGUCUUCGGAUGGAUCUGAGUAAGAGCAUAGCUGUUGGGACCCGAAAGAUGGUGAACUAUGCCUGGAUAGGGUGAAGCCAGAGGAAACUCUGGUGGAGGCUCGCAGCGGUUCUGACGUGCAAAUCGAUCGUCAAAUUUGGGUAUAGGGGCGAAAGACUAAUCGAACCAUCUGAAAUGUUACUGGAUGUUAAACCACAAGUAGUCUCUCCGGAGGCAACAUCACCACUGUGCGGGAAUGCUUCAUAGCCACCCGCAGCGGGGCCUCGGCCUCGCCCACAGACUAGACGGUGGUGGCCCUCACGGGUUCUGAUAUAGCCGAUUCCACCGCGAGCGCGGUUGGACGCAGAU
rnacentral:rRNA from 1 species